rnacentral:lncRNA from 1 species
CAUUGAGUUCAGCCAUCCUCUGUUUCUAUGUCUUGGUGCAGAGUAGACCAGGAUCCUCAAAGGCUAUAUCACUGGCAAAUACAUUCUGAAGGGUCCUGGAAGAAGAUUAUACAUAAUUCUUCAAGUAUUCUUCUCCACCAAUUGCAACAAAGAAGCAAGAGAAUGCUGAGCAAGGAAAUGGCAAACCACUGUAAUAGAGGAACUUAAGCUUAAUCUGGCAGAGAAAGAAGACAAGCAGAUUUAUCAGGCUCAAGGACCAACAGGAGUUGGCAAAGGAUAGGAAGGAGAGAGAGUUCUGAAGAAAGGACAGAGGAAGUGAGAGGAUCUGGACAGUGGAAGAAAACUUCUCUGUGGGAAGCUCACCAGAAAGGCAGACCUGAGCAAAUCUCUGAGCCAGCACCAUCCUCCUGUGACUUCUGACCCAGUAUCCAGUGAAGACAAGCAGAGUGAAUAGGACUUUGCUAAAAGCAUUCGUCAUAAGAAGAUUUUCUCUGAAUCCCCUGGAAGUCCUUGAACUUGUUACAACAGCUUGAGCAGCUGGAAAGUCAGGACAUCUUCACAACUGACCCCAGAGGGUCAGGCAGGCAAGGCCUAACCCUGCCAGACUUAGAGAAGGGGUUCAGUUACUUCUAGGGACCUCAGACUCCCUCUUUCCCAAUACCUCAUUCCUCAAUUCAAUUGCCCUACCCUUCAUUUGUUCCCUUAGAAUAAACAGCUUUUCAUAAGAU